GGUGUAGACCCUUCCUUUCAGGGACUCGAGUCACAAGGCAGUCGGGGUCCCGGCCCGAAGCGUGGGGAGCGGGCAGCGAGGGCGCAGCGGGCUCGUUGGGCCAGCCGUCUGUUCCGAGGUGGAGAGGAGCUGGAGGAGCGGCCCGGGGCCGUGGUCUCCAGCACCCACGCCCUGCUCCAGGCUGAGCCGCGAAGCCGUGUCCUGACGGCGCAGGCCCGCGGAGGCCCACAGAACCGAGUUUGUGGUGUAGGCGUGGCUCGUCGUGCCUGGGCUGUGGAUGCUAAAAUGUAUUCUGCGCAACCUGGGGUCUCCUGAUGGAACCUUGAUUAGAAUGAGGAAGCUUGUAACACAGUAAGUGAUGGACAAGUCAGAAAUGGACCCUCUUGACCACAUGACAUCUGAUGCAACUAUGGAAAUUGAUAAUGAAAGUGAUGACAGUUCAUCUGGUAGCAGUGUGUUUAAAACUCAAUGUGUUCCUUCCUCACCUAAUUGGAGGCCAAAAAACACCAUUAGAAAACCUAUUCAUUCAUCUAAAAUUGUCGAAACAACAGAUUCUUCAAGUGAUUCAUCUGUAGAACCAAGACCAUUGACACUAAAAGCGCUUAUUGCAAAAUUUAAGAAAAAGAAACGUAAAAGGAGAAAACAGAAAUACAAGGCAACAGGAAGGCCAGUAGGCAGGCCUAAAGGACGGAAAAACACUAAAAUAUCACAUGUAGAUAAAAACCAAUUUAAAGACAAAGGACCUAGGUUCUCAUUUUUAGAAUCAGAGAAUGGAACUCAACCAUCACCUUGGAGGAAAAUUUUAACCUUUGAGCAAGCAGUUGCAAGAGGAUUUUUUAAUUACAUUGAAAAACUGAAGUAUGAAUAUCACCUGAAAGAAUCUCUGAAACAAAUGGAUGUUGGUGAUGAUUUAGAAAAGGAAGAUCUUGACAGUCGAAGAUACAAGUAUUUGGAUGAUGAUGGAUCUAUAUCUCCUAUUGAAGAAUCAGUAGCAGAGGAUGAGGAAGCAGCACACCCUGAACAGGAGGAAUGUGAUAUCAAAUUGGUUGACAGUAGUUGUUUCAUAAUAAAUUCGGAAUUCCCAAAACUGAAUGUGAAUUCAGAACAGAAUGUGAAAGAAGCCGUUUCAUCUAAAAAGAGAGCCUCAAAAGUCAAAAACACUGCACAGAAGAUGGAACCUCCUGAAAAGGAGACAGCAACAGGAAACUGAACGAAGGUAUUGGAAUACCCCAGAUAAGUUUUAUUUUUGAGUGAUGGCUUAGGUAAGUUUUAAAUGGUGACAGUGGAAUCUUUUGAAGUUCAAUUACAGUUCACAUGAUGAAUUUAAAUGUUCAACUGCUGAAUGAUUACAGACAUGAACUAAAACCUAAUUCUGACCGAGCUGGAUGUGGCUAUAAUACAAUGAAAUCUCAAGAUUUAUAUAUGUAUCGUCUAAUUUUAUAGCUAUAUAUGUAAGGUCCCUAAAUAAUUCAUUUUGUACUUUUUUCACAGGAAAAAAAUACAGCCAUUCACAUGGGUGGUAAGUUAAGCAUUUAUUUUGUUUUUCAAGGACUUGAAUACAAAAUCUUAAUACACUAUAAUUAUGAGUUAAUAGAUUGGCAAAAAUAUUUGGAAUAAAAAAUGAAAAAUGCCUGUGUAGACCUAAGUGCCAUUGUUUUGCAUUAAAUAAUUAGUUGUCAAUCUUAAGUGACAGUUCCACGUGGUUCAUCUAAAACCAUGCCUACCUGGAUAUCUUGAUUAAAUAGGAAUUGAAUUGAUAGAAAUGUAACCUUAAAAAGUUGACAGUUUGACCUUCAGUGUUUUUGACAUCUAUAUUUUCUUAUAAUGACUUAAUAGUCAUUUGUAAGAGUAGAUAAAGAUGACUAGGAUAAAAGUUAAUGUUUUUUCCGCAUUGGAUUGGAAAUGUUUAUAAAGGUCAGGUUAUUUGUACUGGAAUUUGUUUUAUAGAUUGGCAAAAAGUGAAGGGCUUCAGUCAUGACUGCACUGCAUGGUAUCUGCACACAGCAGUUUAUUCCUGCUGGGGUGUUCAAAGGACAGUGCAAUAGAAAUUCAGUAUCUGGCAUCGUUGGUUUUCUUGGCUUUGUGCAUGUUAAACCUGGUAUUUCUAUUGAUACAGUAUUUGCUCUUUGUUUGAGAGGUAAAAUUAGGGAGAGAAAGAAAGGUUUUCCGGGACUAGAACUGGCGCCUAUAAAGGAUGCCAGCACCGCAGGUGGAGGAUUAACCUACUGCACCACUGUGCCAGCCCCAGCAUUUGUUCUUUUCAUACAGUUCACUUUGAUGUAAUCUUUAAUGCUUUCUUUUCUUUUUCUAGUGUGUCAAGAAUCAGGCAAGUGCAUCUACUCUAUGAAAGCCCAAGAGUAAAUUGCUUGAAGAAAUUAUAUUCCAAAGAUUUUAGGUAAGGUUGACAUAACCUCAAGUCAAUGCAGGUAGAUCCUGUUUCAGUCAAACCUGGUAGUUGAUUUAAUACUACUAUGAAAGAGUAGAUUCCAACAUGUCAUGUGUGUAUCAUGAUUAAGAGUGAUGUCAUGAUGAUGGGCCAAAUGUUCAACUGCUCUGAAUGGGCUGAAUGAAAAUAGCCUUUCUGAACAUCCACAUUGAAUGUAUGCUAUGCAAUUAUUUAGAAACAUUUUAAAAGCUCUAGGGUGAAAGCGAACCUAAAACCUGCAUGUUUGAGGUAUCACUGAAAGUAGAAAUUAGCUUUCACUUACAAAUUUUAUUGUAUUAGUUAAAAUGAACUGGAUUGGAACACAUGCAAGCAACAGCAUUAAACCUAAAAUUUCCAAUACAUAGUGGAGAAAUGGGUUUUAGGAUAACUUGGGACCUAAUUUUCAAAGUUUGAAAUAUAAAUUUUUUCACAGGUGGAAUUUUGAAGUUAUUAUGUAAUUCGAGUGAGGAUUAACAGACCAGAAAUUGUGGCAAGUAUAACUGUCCUUAAUUUUACCUAUAAGUUGAAAGUUGAAGGUCAUUACCAAGGCUUAUAGAAUGCAGUUUCUCAUUUGCUGUGGACAUGACCAUAAAGAAAUUUCCCACCAGGCUUUCUCUCUGCUACCUUGCUAGCAAUCAGCCUACUGGGAACAUUUAAUCAAGUUUUGCAAUAGCCAGUUUCAAAUUCUCACUACAGUGCAUCACUGAUAUUUUUAUGGGUUGCUAGUAGCCAGUUUGUAUGUAACAGGAUCUGAGGUAUGUAACUAACCCCCAGAAAUGAUUCUUAAUUUAUGAUCAUCCCUGAAAUUUUCAAUUUUCAAUUCUUAAUGUAGGGCUGGUACAACACGGUGAAACAUCAGUUUGUUCAAAAGGUACGUACACAUGAGAAAAAAAUAAUAAAGGUCAUUUCAAAGAGGGCUUGUGGAGCCAUGAGACCAAGAGCUCUUAACGCUGUGACCAAAGACUGAUGUUCUCCACAGGAUGCCAUAAUCACUCAGUAGUAGUGCUGUGUUUUCCUGAGGAGAUACAAGAUUGAGCCACUCUUAAUACAUCAUGAUGUAUUAUGACCAGUGUUGUUCUCUUUCUCAGGGCCGAAGAUUUAAAAGAGCUAACCAGAUGACUUUGGACAGUGGAAGGAACUGCAACAUGGGGACUUUCUUAAUGUUAAAUAAAAAUUUAUUAUUGACUUUAAAUAAUUUUGCCUUAUGUUAUACAGUAUAAAAAAUAAACUUUACACUGGUUUGUAGAAAAUCA